CUUAGCUAGUAUAUCUGAGCAAAGAGACCUUUAGUACAGACCCCCGAAACUAGACGAGCUACUUCAAGACAGCCUACGCUGGGCGAACCCGUCUCUGUGGCAAAAGAGUGGGAAGAACUUCAAGUAGAGGUGAUAAACCUAUCGAGCCUAGUUAUAGCUGGUUGCCUGGGAAAUGGAUAGAAGUUCAGCCUCCCGAACUCCUCAGUCCCGCAAAUACUAUUUAACCCAGACUACAGGAUGCUCGAGAGAGUUAGUCAAAGAGGGUACAGCCCCUUUGAAAAAGGACACAACCUCACCGGGAGAUAAAAGAUCAUACUUCACUUAAAGGAAGUCUGUUCAAGUGGGCCUAAGAGCAGCCACCUAAGAAGAAAGCGUUAAAGCUCAGACACACCAUCACCCCUAUAAUACCGAACCCAACUCUAAACUCCCCGCCCCCUACCAGGCCAUUCCAUGUCGACAUGGAAAAGACCCUGCUAAGAUGAGUAAUAAGAGGGACCGCCCCUCUCCCCCGCACAAGUGUACCUCGGAACGGACCCCCCACCGACAAUCAACGACCCCAAAUCAAGAGGGUAGUGUAAAACCACAUAAACACCUAGAAAACCCAACACAAGUUUAAUCGUUAGCCCUACACAGGUGUGCAAACCAGGAAAGACUAAAAUAAAGGGAAGGAACUCGGCAAACACAAGCCUCGCCUGUUUACCAAAAACAUCGCCUCUUGCAAAAGCAAAGAAUAAGAGGUCCCGCCUGCCCUGUGACUAUAUGUUUAACGGCCGCGGUAUUUUGACCGUGCGAAGGUAGCGCAAUCACUUGUCUUUUAAAUGGAGACCUGUAUGAAAGGCACCACGAGGGCUUAACUGUCUCCCCUUUAAAGUCAAUGAAAUUGAUCUCCCCGUGCAGAAGCGGGGAUAACCUCGUAAGACGAGAAGACCCUAUGGAGCUUAAGACACAAAGCGGCCCACGUCAAGUACCCCAAUUCAAGGCAAUAAACAAAGUGCUACACCCGCCGAAAUGUCUUUGGUUGGGGCGACCGCGGGGAAAGAAAAAACCCCCACGUGGACCGGGGCUACACACCCUAGAACCAAGACCCACAGAUCAAAGCAACAGAACUUCUGACCAUUAAAGAUCCGGCAAUGCCGAUCAACGGACCGAGUUACCCUAGGGAUAACAGCGCAAUCCCCUCCCAGAGCCCAUAUCGACGAGGGGGUUUACGACCUCGAUGUUGGAUCAGGACAUCCUAAUGGUGCAGCCGCUAUUAAGG
rnacentral:rRNA from 1 species